CUGCAGCUCAAGUGGUGACCACUAUUAUUGGGCCUAAAACGUUCGUAGCCGGUUUGGUAAAUGCCUGGGUAAAUCGUGUAGCUUAACUAUACGAAUUCCGGGUAGACUGCCAAACUUGAGACCGGGAGAAGCUAGAGGUACUCCUAGGGUAGAGGUGAAAUUCUGUAAUCCUGGGGGGACCACCAGUGGCGAAGGCGUCUAGCUAGAACGGGUCUGACGGUGAGGAACGAAGCCCUGGGGCGCAAACCGGAUUAGAGACCCGCGUAGUCC
rnacentral:rRNA from 1 species